rnacentral:rRNA from 1 species
AUUGAACGCUGGCGGCAGGCCUAACACAUGCAAGUCGAACGAGCGGCGGACGGGUGAGUAAUGUAUGGGGAUCUGCCCGAUGGAGGGGGAUAACUACUGGAAACGGUAGCUAAUACCGCAUACUAUCGGAUGAACCCAUAUGGGAUUAGCUAGUAGGUGGGGUAAAGGCUCACCUAGGCGACGAUCCCUAGCUGGUCUGAGAGGAUGAUCAGCCACACUGGGACUGAGACACGGCCCAGACUCCUACGGGAGGCAGCAGUGGGGAAUAUUGCACAAUGGGCGCAAGCCUGAUGCAGCCAUGCCGCGUGUAUGAAGAAGGUCUUAGGGUUGUAAAGUACUUUCAGCGGGGAGGCGUUACCCGCAGAAGAAGCACCGGCUAACUCCGUGCCAGCAGCCGCGGUAAUAC